UACCGAGAGAGCACACAGUAUUAAACAUUAGCUUUGAAGUGGAGUACGUUUAGGCCGUUCGGGUUCUGCGUUGCAUUGACGUCGAUCUCUCAUUUAGGUGCUGAGCGCUCUACCAGCACGGAGCAUAAUACAUCGAGCUGAGAGCUCCUGCGAUCAUUACAUAGAGCUAGGGAAAAUAAAAGUCUUCAUGGAUUUCGAGUUUUUGCUUUGAUUAAAUCGUGGAAAAUAUUUACCUAUCGUUCAAUUAUUUCAUUUUGAUUCGAAUGGGCCAUUGCAACAACUGUUUCUCUUUAAGAAUUAACUUCAUUCCUUUUGGACGACUCUAUUAUUGCUUCGAUUUUGUCAUCAGAAACACAUGACGUACUUUUCAAGACUUAAGGCAGGCCUGCUUGGAUGUAAAGAAAGACAAAUAGAGAGAUUUUGCUGACCUAGAUGAUUCGAUGACCACCCGCCCCAUGUCCAUCUAUUCACUACGUCAUUGGUGACGUCACACAUUCCUAUCUUCAUGUGACGUGUAAAGAAAAAAGGUAGCACAUGAUUCAAUUUGUGACGAAGCGUUGCUUGGCUAGAGAUUGAAGCAUCACGCAGCUCCUUCGAGACUGAAUCUUGAAACACAGCUCCAGGUACAAAACAAGAACAUCGGUGUAUUCAAGAGACAACACGCUAUCAUAGCUACUGCAUCAACGACUAGCACGGAAGGUCUAUAGUAAGGUGUUGCAUGGUG
rnacentral:lncRNA from 1 species